rnacentral:rRNA from 1 species
UACGUAGGUGGCGAGCGUUAUCCGGAAUUAUUGGGCGUAAAGAGCGCGCAGGUGGUUGAUUAAGUCUGAUGUGAAAGCCCACGGCUUAACCGUGGAGGGUCAUUGGAAACUGGUCGACUUGAGUGCAGAAGAGGGAAGUGGAAUUCCAUGUGUAGCGGUGAAAUGCGUAGAGAUAUGGAGGAACACCAGUGGCGAAGGCGGCUUCCUGGACCAGUACCGACGUUCAGGCACGAAAGCGUGGGGAGCAAACAGG